GAUGAACGCUGGCGGCGUGCCUAAUACAUGCAAGUCGAGCGAACGGACGAGAAGCUUGCUUUUCUGAUGUUAGCGGCGGACGGGUGAGUAACACGUGGAUAACCUACCUAUAAUACUGGGAUAACUUCGGGAAACCGGAGCUAAUACCGGAUAAUAUUUUGAACCGCAUGGUUCAAAAGUGAAAGACGGUCUUGCUGUCACUUAUAGAUGGAUCCGCGCUGCAUUAGCUAGUUGGUAAGGUAACGGCUUACCAAGGCAACGAUGCAUAGCCGACCUGAGAGGGUGAUCGGCCACACUGGAACUGAGACACGGUCAAGACUCCUACGGGAGGCAGCAGUAGGGAAUCUUCCGCAAUGGGCGAAAGCCUGACGGAGCAACGCCGCGUGAGUGAUGAAGGUCUUCGGAUCGUAAAACUCUGUUAUUAGGGAAGAACAUAUGUGUAAGUAACUGUGCACAUCUUGACGGUACCUAAUCAGAAAGCCACGGCUAACUACGUG
rnacentral:rRNA from 1 species